UACGAAGGGGACUAGCGUUGUUCGGAAUACUGGGCGUAAAGCGUGCGCAGGCGGUGAUGUAAGACAGGUGUGAAAUCCCCGGGCUUAACCUGGGAACUGCAUUUGUGACUGCAUCGCUGGAGUGCGGCAGAGGGGGAUGGAAUUCCGCGUGUAGCAGUGAAAUGCGUAGAUAUGCGGAGGAACACCGAUGGCGAAGGCAAUCCCCUGGGCCUGCACUGACGCUCAUGCACGAAAGCGUGGGGAGCAAACAGG
rnacentral:rRNA from 1 species